rnacentral:rRNA from 1 species
UACGAAGGGUGCAAGCGUUGUUCGGAAUCAUUGGGCGUAAAGCGCACGUAGGCGGCUUUGCAAGUCGGAUGUGAAAUCCCUCGGCUUAACCAAGGAAGUGCAUCCGAAACUGCAGAGCUUGAGUACUUAAGAGGAUCGCGGAAUUCCCGGUGUAGAGGUGAAAUUCGUAGAUAUCGGGAGGAACACCAGUGGCGAAGGCGGCGAUCUGGGAAGAUACUGACGCUGAGGUGCGAAAGCGUGGGGAGCAAACAGG